rnacentral:rRNA from 1 species
GACGAACGCUGGCGGCGUGCUUAACACAUGCAAGUCGAACGGUUAAGCGCCUUCCCUUUUGGUGGGUGUGGAUGAGUGGCGAACGGGUGAGUAACACGUGAGUAACAUGCCCUCUUCUUCUGGAUAACUGCAUGAAAGUGUGGCUAAUACGGGAUAUUCUGGGCCUGUCGCAUGAUGGGUCUGGGAUAGAUAUUGUUUCGGUGGGGGAUGGGCCCGCGGCCUAUCAGCUUGUUGGUGGGGUGAUGGUCUACCAGGUCGGUGACGAGUAGCCGGCCUGGGAGGGUAGACGGUCACACUAGGACAGAGACACGGCCCAGACUCCUACGAGAGGGAGCAGUGGGGAAUAGUGCACAAUGGGCGCAAGCCUGAUGCAGCGACGGCGCGUGUGGGAUGGAGGCCUUCGGUUGGUGAACCUCGUUCGCGAGUGGAGCAGGGCUGCCUCGUGUGUAGGAGGGAUGACGGUAGCUGGAGAAGAAGCGCCGGCUAACUACGUG